AUCUGGAUAGCUCAGCUGGUUAGAGCAUGGUGCUGAUAUCUCAAAGGUUAUAGGUUUGAGCCCUGUACGAGACA